rnacentral:lncRNA from 1 species
CUCUUGCCUUCCACCUGCUGCUAUAUGAGGACACAGCAGCAAGGUGCCAUCUUGGAAGCAGAGAACAGCCCUCGCCAGACACCAAAAUUGGUGGCUUCAGAACCGAAUGGUCACACUGUUUUCCAAAGUGACUGCACCAUUUCAUAUUUCUACCAGCAACAUCAUCAUCUUCCUUUUACAGAUGAAGAAACUCAUAUCAUGGAAAAGCAUGGAUGAAAUCCUCUGACCACCCUACAUUUAAAGGACCUUUAAAGAGAAAGAACUGACAGUGUAAGUGGAAAAAGAGCAACUGGAAGUAGCAGGAGAAGGAAAAACCAUUAUCAUACAACUGGUGGGAAGAAGGAAUGUCAAAAACAUCAGUGUGAAAAUAAUUGCAGUAAAACGGUAAAUCCCAGUAAUUACUGAAAAGAGAUUUUUAGGAUGUGGGCAAUGGAAGGUACAUGGUGAUUCUCAGAAGUCUCAUGGGCAAGCAGUGAGUGAGAUUGCCAUGGGUGACAGUAUAUGUUACAUAAGGAGGUGAAGGCAGCAUGAUUUGGAAAUUCAGGUGAUGGAAGGAAAUGAGUAGAAAUCCAUCUUUGGAUGGAGAAGGCAUGAGCAGGUCUAUGGAGGCAAGAAGCUGGAGUGAUUAAGAUACUGUACAAUGAGGUAGAGUGAUGUAUUGGAAAAGCUGAGGAGGGGAUAGCUUCCCAAGAGUUAAUGAAUGGGGGUGUUUCAUACAAAGAGAGACUUAUUUCUCUGUGGCCACAGAUGGAAGGAGAGAUAAGAGUGACUGGGGGCCGGGCGCGGUGGCUCACGCCUGUAAUCCCAGCACUUUGGGAGGCUGAGGCGGGUGGAUCACGAGGUCAGGUGAUCGAGACCAUCCUAGCUAACACGGUGAAACCCCGUCUCUACUAAAAAUGCAAAAAAUUAGCCAGGCGUGGUGGCGGGCACCUGUAGUCCCAGCUACUCGGGAGGCUGAGGCAGGAGAAUGGCGUGAACCCAGGAGGUGGAGCUUGCAGUGAGCUGAGAUUGCACCACUGCACUCCAGCCUGGGCAACAGAGCGAGACCCUGUCUCAAAAAAAAAAAAAAAAAAAAAAAAAAAAAAAGAGUGACUGGGGGAUACAUUCUGGUCUGAUUACAUCUUCCAGAGUUAAUAUGUUGAUUAGGUUCAGAAGUCCUAAGAAGAUGCCAGGACCCAAGCUGUUUUCCUUCCCUCUCUGCAGGAGGAAGGUGAUCUCUGGGCUCCCACUCCCACCCUCACUAUGCCCUCAUAAUAGUUUCCAAUGCAAUGAAUAAGAAGUCAAUGAGUGUCACGAGUGGCUUUUUAGCCUACCCCAUCUAUUCAAGGAAGGCUUAAGCCUUGAGUCAAAUCCCAGAGUGAGAAUUUCUUUUGUAUUUUUUGAGUUUCUCUGUGCAUUCAUUAUAGCCCUCAUGGAAGCUGGAUUUUCCUGAGAAGUAAAUGUAGAUUCCUGAGCUGUAAGAAACCAGCUUGGAGAAUCCUUCUGAACUGUCAUUAAUCGUGCUUGUUCCUUAGUAUAUUUAUUAGGUAUUACAUUUUUUUCUUCAAAGUCCCAAAAAGCCUUCCUAAUUAAGAAGCCAGGAAUUAGUACAUUGUUUCUUAAAAGUGGAAGUGAUAGCGCUUUCUUACGGUAAGUCUGGGCCAUUCCAGUUGAUAGUACUGAUUUAUAAAGCCUGUUGGGGUUUUCCUCAGAGGAGAAGGAAAAACCUCAUUGCAUGUACUAGCAGCACACUAACCACAGCCCCCGGCUGAUAUCAGAGGCAUUUUAAUAAAAUCCAGCAUAGAAAUGCAGAUUUUGUUACACCGAUUCCAACUGAUAAUUAACUACAAACGUUUGACAAUCUCAGAAAAAAAUGUUUGGCAUGACUACAUGUGGUUUAAAAUCUAGAUUACAAAUUCUGGGGGUGGUGAGGGGUGGAGAAAGCCGUACUUUCAAGUAAAAUGAGAACUUUCGCUGUGGACUGUUAGGACACCUCCUGGGCCCCAGUGAGGGCCACUUCCGAGCAGCUGCAGCCACUUAGACCAGUCCUGCAUCUUCCCUCUGCAGAGAAGGAUGGCCUAUCCCAAGGUCCCUUGCGGUUCUGAAUGUGGUUCUGCGUAGUCCAUAGACAAGAAAAUGUCCCUUUGCAUAAUUAAUUUCCUCUGUUUCUAUGGCCCUUUUACAUUUUCCAAGGAGGUUUGCAUCCAAGGAAGCUCUUGUUAUUGUUUUGAUCACAGCUGAUUGGAGAGGCAAGACAGGUGUUUUUACCUGAGGUCCACGGAGAUCACAGGGUUUUUCGACUCGUCAGGAGCUUGGGUAGGAGAAAGACGGUUCCAAGCUUCUUGGCAACAUUGUCUGGAAAUGUAUUCAUCAGACCCUGUCUAGCAGGCAGAGUUUAAAAAGCAAUUGCUCCCUUUUGUGUGUGCCUUUAAGGAUGAGAGACUAACAGAAUAGCUUGAGUAUCUGUGGGGCAGGAGGAGGUUUUAUUUGAAAGACACAUCUGAUAUUGCUAGUACCUACAAUACCGAUGUUGGUUUCUUUUGGAGACCCCAAGUUCUCCAGCCUACUGGAGUUACCCUGUUCUGUGAUAUUUAAAUAGAGACUGCUUGAACUCUCAUUUCACAGAAGUGGAAACUGUUCUGUGUCUUCCCAACCCCUCACAUCUGCAGGGAUUCCCCAGGUACUUAAGAGUUUCCUGGGGAGUCCAGGUUUCUACUGAAUUCUCCAUUUCCUGACGUCUCCUUGUAGAGCUUCUCCUCUCUACCACCCUAUGUCCACCAACCUGAACUUUUCCCUGAGUUUUCCAAAAUCCUAACCAUAAAAGAAAAUUAUGUAUAGUGUAAUUUAAGUGGAGAUUUUGGGGUGAUGCCCAAGAGCAAUUGCCAGAAGCAAUAUAAAGGUGAACAGCUAUUCUCAAAAUUCCCCUGACCACAUAGCUCUGCUAGUCCAAAAGACAACUUUCUGUGAACUUAAAAAGAGUGCAUCCUUCAAGGUCUUUAUUAUCAUCUUGUUAAAAGAAAAACCUUAGACAAAUUAAAUUUAACACAGUUUAGUUGAGCAAAGAAUGAUUCGUGUAUCAGGCAGCCCCCAAACCGGAAUAGGUUCAGAGGCUACAACAUACUCACAAAAUGAAAGAUUUAUGGACAGAAAAAGGAAGUAAGGUACAGAAAUAGCCGGAUUUGUUAUAGCCCAGUGUUUGGCUUAUUUGAACACAGUUUAAACAGCUGGCUGUCUUUGAUUGACCAAAACUUGGUGAUUGGCGCAAGAAUAUGUUACAGUCUGUUUAUACCUCCAAUCAGGUUACAGUUCACUAUGUAUGGAGAAACAUUUACACUGAAUGUAGACUAUAUAAGGAGUCAGCUUUAGGCUAAACUUAAUUUAACAAUUACCCCAACUUUAUGUGUUGAUUUGUUCUGUCACCAUCAUAAAUGUACUCAUUUGUUCUCCCGUUCCACUGGGAAAUAGCAGAACAAUGGGUUUUGUAAGUUGGGAACAAGGACAUCAGGCAAUUUUUUGUAAAGGUUAGAGUAGAGGGGACCUCCUUGUGCUGCAGUUAAACAAAACAUGGUCUGUUUCGGAACCUAUCUACUUCCUUAAAGUUUCAGUUUGAUUAUAUCACAUUUAGCAUGAGUGACUCCAUUUUGGUUUGGUCUGGUCUGCUGUGGCCUAGUGCACGAGUUCAAUCCAAAAAUGGCCUCCUGUAAUUUUGUUUAACAAUUUGCUGAGAAAUUGUUCUAAUAGUUAUGUGAAUCAGGAGGCCGAUAUUGCCAAUAUUUCUCCCUGGAGUUGUGCAGUGCACAACUGACACAGCUGGGAGUAGUGCCAUUCCUCCCACAGGAAGCUUCUCCCUGGCCACCCCUUCUCAGGACCCAGGCUUCCUAAAUCUUCACUGUCUCUCUCUCUCUCUCUCUCUCUCUCUUUCCCCACCCCUUCCUUCCAUUAAUCUCCCUUAGUUCCUUCUAUUCUAGGUUAUUUUACUUACUUGCUUUUGAUGUUCCUUGGAGACAUUUAUAACUCUUAGGCUAUUAUGCAGAGCAUUUAAUUUUCUACUUCUCUCCCCUGCCUAUUCCAUCUUGGCCCAAGGCUUACCUUUUCUCAACUGAAAUGGCCCAUCCUGGCAUUUUACUGUUAAUUCCCUGAGGGCUUCUUCUUCCAGCUUUUUCCAAUAACUUGCCUCCACUCCUUGCCAUAUUUAUUAAAAAGAGAGAGAUUUGGUUAGACUCUUUAUUACGAUCCCCAUAGCAACUUCUAUCUCUCCUUUAAAAAUCUUCAUAUUACAAACCUGGCAUAUAGUGGAUGCCCAUAAAUAUUUGCUGAUAAAAUAUUUAUGAUGGAAUGUAUAGUGCUAUGUGGUUUUGGUUUUUUAGAACAUAUUAGACUGUGAAUUAAUAAUAUCAGAAUUCCCACCAAUAGUUCUGGGUUUUACAUUUAAGCCUUUAAUCCAUCUUGAGUUAAUUUUGUAUAAGGUGUAAGGAAGGGGUCCAGUUUCAAUUUUCUGCAUUUGGCUAGCCAGUUUUCCCAGCACCGUUUAUUAAAUAGAGAAUCCUUUCCCCACUGUUCAUUUUUAUCAGGUUUGUCAAAGAUCAGAUGGUUGUAGAUGUGCGGUCUUAUUUCUGAGAUCUCUAUUCUGUUCCAUUGGUCUAUGUGUCUAUUUCUGUACCAGUACCAGCCGUUUUGGUUACCGUAGCCUUGUAGUAUAGUUUGAAGUCAAGUAGCGUGAUGCCUCCAGCUUUUUUUUUUUUUUUUUUUUUUUUUUUUUUUUUUUUGCAUAGGAUCGUCUUGGCUAUAUGGGCUCUUUUUUGGUUCCAUAUGAAUUUUAAAGUAGUUUUUUUCUAAUUCUGUGAAGAAUGUCAUAUGAGAACGCAUGGACACAGGGAGGGGAACAACACACACUGUGGCCUGGCCAGAGGGGCUCGGGGAGGGAGUGCAUCAGGAUAAAUAGCUAAUGCAUGCUAGGCUUAAUAUCUAGAUGAUGGGUUGAUAGGUGCAGCAAAACACCAUGGCACACAUUUACCUAUGUAACAAAACUGCACGUCCUGCACAUGUAACCUGGAACUUAAAAUUUAAUUUAAUUUAAUUUAAUAAUAAUAACAUCAGAAUUCUUGGUGUUUAGCAAAGUACCCAGAUCACAGUGGGUGCUCAGAAGGUAUUCAUUAAAUGAAUAUUCAUCAACAAGUUAAUCCAUUUUUUACCUAACCCAGUGGAAUCUGCUGAGCUAACCAUCAUGAGAAAUAAUGCUGGAGGUAUAGGGUUCAUUUUAGAUCUUUAGGUUUUUAUGGCUGAUUCAUUCAUUCAUGGAAUGAAAUUAUUUAACAUGAAAAAUAAACCCUCUAGAAUGUUAGUCCCUUUAAAAGAGAUUUUUAAGGACAUUCUCAUUUUUUUCCCCAGAGCCCUAUGAAGCAGAUAGUACCUACCCCUCCCCCUGCCACCCCACUUUACAGAUGAGAAAACUAAGGCCCAGAGAGAUUGAAGCAACUCUGUUAGGUUCACACAUCCAGUAAAUGAUAGAACAAGAACUUGAACAGAAACUUACUAAUGCCAAGUCUACAUUUUCUGCUCCGUUAUAGCUUCUCUGAUUCAGAAGAAGAGGACUAUGACUCCAAAGUUCCCUUUGCAAUGUAGAUGUUUAAAAAAUAUGUUUUUUGUAAAAAAGUAAAAUGCAUUACUCAGUACCAAUGCAAGUCUUCAGCCUAGAAUCCAGACCAUUAAGCAUGCAGCAGCACAGCAUACUUUGAAAGAGGCCUCAUAAAAACACAUAGUUGACAUUGUCUCUAAGGAUUUUAGCUAAGUAGACUGAAUCUAGUGGGGAAAAUAAAAUCUUUUCCCAGAGCUUCGCAGAAGUGGAAAGUGAAAGAUUGAGAGCUUGUGAGAAAUAACAGACACUUUAAAAAAUGUUGAUUAGAAAUAGAAGAAUGGUAGAAGGAUUUUUUAAAUGAAUAAAUAAAAAUGGUACAACAUUUGGAAUAUUGUUUAGAAUCAUAUAAUUUUAGGACUGAAAGGGACCAGUAAAAGCAUCUAAGGCUCUCCUUUUGUAGAAAGAAACAACAUUUUGAGUCACAACCAGGACCAGCUAUAUAAUUCGUGCAAAAUGAAACUGGGGGGCCCCUUGUUUAAAAAAAAAUACUAAGAUUUCAAGAUGAUGAUAGUAUAUCAUUCAACCAAGGUUGGAACCCUCCUAAGUGCAGGGCCCUAUGUGACUACACAUUUCACACACCAGUGAAGCCAGCCCUGGUCACACUAUUAUUAACACCAGCAUUUUAUACUAAUAUAUCACUUGAGAGCUUACCUAGCCUUUUCACAGGUAAUCUAAUUUGAGUUUUAUAAUAGCUCAGUAGAGUAAAGCAAGAAUUGUUUUCAUUGUAAAACAUGUCCACACAAGAAUACAUUUAUCAACCAUGACAUUCUGGUUGACUAAAGUGACCCCAUGCCCCUUGCACCAUUUAUGUUUUACAUCAUGGUAUUAGCAGUUUCUAUUAGAAUAAAAGGGAAGCAGUUAAGUUAAUUUGCUCAUAGGUAGUCAUUCAACAAACUCUUUAGCAUCUACUAUGAGCGGAGCACUUGUAAGCAUUUCAGACAUUGAAUUGGAAUUUUGCAAUAACUUAGUGAAGAAGGCGAAUUACCGUGCCCAGUGUUCUGAUGUGCACGCUAAAAACCAGAGACACAAAGUUAGACAGCCGAGGUCAUAGAUUAGCUACUGAAAUAAUCAGGGUUAGAAUGUAGACUAUUCUGUGGUGCUCUUUUAAAAAGUAUUAACUUCUAUAAAAUGUAAAAUUAAUUUGUCUGCCAAGGAAAUUAAAGCCAAAUCAAAGAGUAAAUGAGUAUUCUCCCUUUUCUACCUCUCCUUCUUCUGCUACAGUUUCUAGAGUAGAAAAUAAGAAAUAUAAAGAUGAAAAUUUCAUACGUUUUAGGAGAUUGCCUUGUAAUUGAAUUAAAAGUAAAUUAAUUGACCUGAGCCUUGCCCUUGAGGCCAAGCCACUGACUGCUCAUUGAAUAUGCAUGAGCUCACCCACUUCAUCACUGCCUUGCAAGUCAGGCAAAGCCAUAUGACUUUUUCUGGCCAGUGGACUAUAAACAAAAGUAACAGUGUAUCAUUUUCAGGCUGAGGUAUUGAGAAGCUCCUUUAUAAUUCUCUGGCUCUAUCUUUCCUAAACUCAGUGACCUUAGGAGCCAUGUGUUAAGCUACUGGAAUCACACGAUAAAAGCAUAUUGGCUCCCUGAACCACCACCUGGGAAGGAGUUUCCCUGGAGAGUCAUGAGACUUGGCAAAGAACUUUAUGUGACCAAAAUAAAUGUUCAUGUGAAAGUCACUGCAGUCUGGGAGUGUGUUACUGCAGCAUAACUUAACAUCACCCUGACUACUAGACUCAUACCUACAAUAUUUUUCUCCUUCUGGUUUGGUUCUUCCCUGUCUUUUGACCCUCAGUGACUAUAAUUAACAUAUAUAAAAGCUUUCAAAACCCCUCCUUAAGCUGCUUUUUGUUUCUCCUGAAACCUCCAACAAUCCUGUCAGACUCUGCUAUUUUCAAAGGCUGAGGCCUCAAGUCUGAUUUUACAUGAAAGACAUGCAAGCAUGACCCAAAAGAUGAAAAACCUUAAGAACAUCCAAGAGUCAGGGGCUUUGCUAAUCACUGGGCUUUGCUAAUAUAAACGAAUUUAGGAAAAAAGGUGAUGAGCACUGAAAUGAUAAGCAGAUGAUUGUCUAUCUUACUAACCCAGAUAGUUGUUUUCAGGAAAAUUUUAAAAGGGAAAUGUUUCAGCUACUUGUAUUUUGUUUUGUUUUAUUUGUUUUUUUAGCCAGAACGGUGAAGGAAAAACUGAGAACCCCCCUGCAUGACCAUACAUCUCACAUUUAAAUAGCAAUUUAAACAGUUAUUUUUGAAAACAAGAUGACAUGAGGUGUGAUUAUCACAUAAGUAAUGAAACUGACUUAUCCCAAAAACGUAUAGACAGCAUGAAUUUUCAUAAGGAAAGUGGUCCUUUUCAGAGGCUGAGGACUUUGGUCAAAGAAGUUCUUCCAAAUAGUUAGCAUCUAUGAUAACUGCUCUCAUUCCUGGAUCUGUGUAUUAAUUGUAGCAAAUUUUGGGUGGUGUCUUAGCUCAGGCUGCUGCAGCAAAAUACCACACACUGGGCAACUUAAACAACACUUGUUUUUUCAUAGUUCUGGAGGCUGGAAGUCCGUGAUCAGGGUACUGAAAGUCCAUGAUCUGGAAGCCAGCAUGAUAAGGUUCUGGUGAGGGCUCCCUUCUUGGUUUGUAGAUGGCUGCCAUCAUGCUGUGUACUCACAUGACCCCUUCUUCGUGUGUGCAUGGAGACAGAGAAAAAAUAAGCUCUCUGGUGCCUCUUCUUGCAAAGGCACUAAUCCCAUCAUAAGGAUUCCACCCUUGUGACCUCAUCUAAGCUUAAUUACCUCCCAGAAGUCCCAUCUCCAAAUAUCACAUUUGGGGUUAGGGCUUCAACAUAAGAAUCAUGAAUUUGGGGUGGGGAGAGGGACACAGCUGAGUCCAUAGCAGGUGGGAAACAUGGACUUAAGGAUCAGAACUGCCUCUUGCUACCAAAAGCUUCCCAAGAGCAAGUAAGCUCACUUCCGUGAGCAGACAAAGGCUCCUGAAAUAACACAGGUGAAAGGUAAGUGGUUCUGAAUUGGUAUGAUCACAGUAAAAGAGGAGAUGGGUUUCAGAUGGAAUAUUCAUGGCUUGCAGACAAAGUGAAAAAUGUUUAACAUGACCACCCAUGUUGGAAGUCUGGUGCCUGGGAGAAGGUUGGUGCCGUUUACCCAAACUGGAAAGCCAGGAGAAAGAAGCAGUUUGGGGAGAAGGAGGAAAAGGACUUUGGCAACAUGCCCACCUUGGGAUCAUCUUGAGUUUGUGUGGGAAUGUUCCAAUGUAAGGGAAAUAUAAAAAUGCCACUUAUAAGGAAGACUGCAUCCAGGCGUGAUAAUUUAUGCUUGUAAUCCCAACACUUUGGGAGGCUGAGGCAGGAAGAUCACUUGAGCCUAGGAGUUCGAGACCAGCCUGGGCAACAUAGAGAGACUUCAUCUCUAUUUAAAAAAAAAAAAAGAAUUAAAAAAAAUUAAAAAAGAAAAAUAUAGAGAAAAAGAAGUCUGUGUCAGCCAGGCUUGGGGAGGAUGGGUAGAAAUACAGUCUGCACGUGACUAAUUUCAUGAGUGGUCGCUUCACCACUAAGCUAAAAUUCUCUAUGGUGGACAAAAUUCUUAUACCAGCAAUGAUUUCUGGGCAUUAAAGCUUUGUGAGACUUACAGCAACUAGACACUUGUAGGCACAGUGGGCUAAUUGCCCUUCCAUGGCAAAGACAGCUGAAGCAGGACUUCUUUACAGUACCACUUGGACAAACAAUUACUAACGACCAUAAUUUUUCCACGUACACUGGGUACACUGAGUACCCAGGUAAGAAAAUGUACCUGUGGGAGGAUUAGGGGAAAUACACUGCAAACUUGGCCCAAAAAAGAAGGAAAAUAGGAGGAAAGAAGUAAGAGGUAUAAGCAAGAGGCUAUAACUAGAUUUCUGAAAGAAGUGAGAAAGGGGGGAAAACAGAAGUGAACCAACAAUCGCUGAGCUCUUCCCUUGUUCCAGGGCAGGUGCUGAAAAGACAGUCCCUCAACUCUGUCUGGUGGAGAAAAAGUCUAGUCCAGAAAUGAGUGCAAGAAGGCAUGCUGGUUCUGUCAGGCACGGUGGCUCAUGCCUGUAAUCCCAGCACUUUGGGAGGCUGAGGCGGGUGGAUCACCUGAGGUCAGGAGUUCAAGAGCAGCCUGGCUAACAUGGUGAAACCCUGUCUCUACUAAAAAUACAAAAAUUAGCUGGGCAUGCUGGUGCACACCUGUAAUCCCUACUACUUGGGUGGCUGAGGCAGCAGAAUCAUUUGAACCCAGGAGGCAGAGACUGCAGUGAGCUGAGAUCAUGCCAUUGCACUCCAGCCUGGGUGACAGAGUGGGACUCUGCCAAAAAUAAAAACAAAAAGGCAAAGACAUGCUGGUUCUUACAGGAGAGGGAAGCAUGUUUUGUUGGGGCACACCCCAUUUAGAUGGGCAUUAGAGGAGUCCAUUUUUAGGUGAAAACUGAGGCUCCAAAAAGUUAAAUGAGUUGCCUAAAGAAUCACAGUGUGAUCACUGGGGAUCUAUUGGUUGCAUGUGACAGAAGCCAAGUCCAAACAAAUUCAAGAAUAACAAAAACCAAAAAAAAAAAAAAAAAAAAAAAAAAGAAAAAGAAAAUUGGCUCAUAUGAUAGAAAACUACAGCGUGCAGAGGUUAAUCCAGCUCUUUUCCUGGACCCAGGUGCCCCAUCUGUGCCCUGUCUUUCAUAUGGCUUUUUUCUGUGUUGCUGCACCUUCUGGAAGCCUUCCCUCCAUUGGGAGGAAAGAUGGCCCCAGAAGCCACAGGCUGCCAUGGUCCUUCCACCUUGCAGCUUAUGGCAUCCCCAGAGGGAUCCUGAUUGGCCCAGCUUGAUUGCCUUGGGCCAAUUAGCACAACAGGUGGAAUCAGAAUCGUGAACUCUGAUCACAUGCCUGCUGCUGUGACGAGGCAAGUGCAGCCACCACAUGACUGAUAUCCCCACCAGAAUCACCCACAACAGGGAGGAAUAUUUCUACAAGAAGUGUAUGGGGGCCGUCCCCUUAAAAAGGGGACAAACACAAUCCAUGUCCUCAAUACACAUUUUAGAAAUUUGCGGAGUUGAGCUGCAAGCCCAGGCUGCAUUCUGAAGUUUGUGUCUUUCUAUCUUGCAAAGUGCCCUUCCCACAUACCUCUGACAAAUGAGAACAGAAAGAAGAUUUAAUGGCAGUGCAAAUGAAAGGAAAGGCAGAAAUAAUUCUGGGAGGCCAAAACACCAAAGAAGAAAUAAGAAGAGGAAGCAAGAGAAGCAGGAUGAGAGAGGCUGUGGGAAAAAAUAAAAACAGGGUUGGGAAAAAAGCACCAAGGCCUAUCCUGCAGCCUUCAAUCCCUCCUCUGGAAUCCCUGCCAGAAGCUGUUGGUGUUUUUCAGAAAGCUUUUUCCCUUCCUCCUUGUUAAGAAGCUGAGAGCCAAAUGCCCCAUUAAUCUUUCAAAAGGCCACUUUGGCUUCUUGGGGCAGAGCCACGCACGUUUGGCUUGCCUCCCUCAUGUUCAUUUUCCUUCCCAAAAGCAGGGGGACUUGGCAGGCCAACCCAGCUACCCAUUUAGGAUCACAGGGACCAGAGGCUGUUACCACUGCAGUGGGGUCUUACCUGGGAAGAUAGUGGUCAUCCCUGCACCUCAAGGACUCUCCUCCCAUCUGCUUAGUUAGGCUCCACUUGACCACAUUCCAUUUCUCAGGCCCAUUUGCAGUGUGAGAAACUCAGUAAACAAAAAUAAACCCGGAGCUCCAAGUGCCACCACCCCACUGGGCAGCUGCUGGUACAAUGCAGGGUGUAGUUGGGGAUACUAGGAAGUUCUUUCUUCUAGCAGAGCUACAGUUGGGGUGAGCAGGCGAAAAGGAGACAAAUGGACUAAAGAGUAACAUGGUACAAUAGUGUUGUAACCAACACAGACAAAACAAUGUAAGACGUGUCACUUACGAGACUCUUUUGUCUUCCUGAGAGCCUUCCAGGAAUCAAGUCCUGCACUUGGCUGUGAGGGCAUAGGGGUGAAUCAGAUGUGGACUGUUGGUAGGGACACAUGUCUUCCCUACACCACAGGGAAGUUUCCCCAUGAUGUUUCCUCCAUGUGGAAGGAGUUCCGCUGGUGGGAAAAAGUUGGCAUCUCUUCACCCCUUUACUCCCAGAGGUUGAGCGAUAGGUGAAUGGUCAAUUUGGAAUAAGUGAUAUGUGAAUAGUCCACUUGCAAAGACUGUAAUGGGGCACACUUAUCUCAGCUCCGCCUAUCUUGUUCUUUGCAG